CCUACGGGAGGCAGCAGUGAGGAAUAUUGGUCAAUGGCCGGAAGGCUGAACCAGCCAUGCCGCGUGAAGGUCAGUGCCCUAUGGGCGUUAAACUUCUUUUGUGCGGGAGCAAUAAUGGUCACGUGUGGCCAGACGAGAGUACCGUACGAAUAAGCAUCGGCUAACUCCGUGCCAGCAGCCGCGGUAAUCCGGGGGAUGCAAGCGUUAUCCGGAGUUAUUGGGUUUAAAGGGUGCGUAGGCUGUGAGGUAAGCCAGCGGUGAAAUGCCCCCGCUCAACGGGGUGGAGUGCCUUUGAUACUGGCUAGCUGGAAUGCGAAAGCGGUGGGAGGAAUGUGUGGUGUAGCGGUGAAAUGCGUAGAUAUCACACAGAACACCGAUUGCGAAGGCAUCUCACGAAUCCGAGAUUGACGCUGAUGCACGAAAGCGUGGGUAUCAAACAGGAUUAGAUACCCCAGUAGUC
rnacentral:rRNA from 1 species